AGAGUUUGAUUCUGGCUCAGGAUUAACGCUGGCGGCGUGCCUAAUACAUGCAAGUCGGAUGGUUAGCUUGCUAACCAUGGCGAACGGGUGAGUAACACGUAGGUAACCUGUCUUAAAGACGAGGAUAACCAUUGGAAACGAUGGAUAAUACUGGAUAGGAUAUAUAAGGGCAUCCUGAUAUAUUUAAAGAUUUAUCACUUUAUGAGGGGCCUGCGGCGCAUUAGUUAGAUGGCGGUGUAAAGGACCACCAUGACGAUGAUGCGUAGCCGGACUGAGAGGUUGAACGGCCACAAUGGGACUGAGAACGGCCCAUACUCCUACGGGAGGCAGCAGUAGGGAAUUUUCGGCAAUGGACGGAAGUCUGACCGAAGCAACGCCGCGUGAACGAAGAAGUAUUUCGGUAUGUAAAGUUCUUUUAUUUGGGAAGAAAAGAUUAGAUUGACUGUACCAAAUGAAUAAGCUCCGGCUAACUACGUGCCAGCAGCAGC
rnacentral:rRNA from 1 species